UCCUUCUGAGAGUAAUUCUACGGUACUUGAGGAGGUACCAUGAGGUACUAAAAAUUUAGUGUAAAAAUUGGUCACUCAUGAUACCUCACAGUACCUAGGUAUCAAGAGAUAUCAAAUUUACAAUAAAAAAAUGGUACCUCAUGGUACCUCGAAUUGUAAAAUUGCUCUUC
rnacentral:misc_RNA from 1 species